CCGCCGCCGCUGCGGCCGGGCCGCCGCCGCCUCCGACCGCUCUCGGCGUCCUCCACCCCCGCCCCGCUACGCUCCGAGCAGCGUCCCGCGCGGAGAAGGGGGCGGGCGGCGGAGAGAUAUCCUUCCUCCGGCGCGCCGACGAGUCCCGACGCCACCGCGGGCUUCCGAGGCGCUGCGGACGAGAGGCACGUUAAACUGCUGGGCUCCGCCACAUAACGAACCGACAAUAAAGCCGGCGGAGCGUUUCCGUCCGACCAGGCCCUGGCGGAGGUCGAAUGGCAAAUGAACAACGGACCGUGCGCCCACAAUGCACCGGGAAAACGCACCGCCCCGAGUGUCUUAUUGCUGUGAUGAAAUGGAAAUUUAAAUAAAAGGUCGAACACGUGCGUUCACUGGGAAGUAUUGACAUGGGUGUUACAUCACCAGCAGCCAAUCAGAUAACUCCAGUCGUGUUUAUACUUCUACAACCACCUUUGGUGCCAGAAUUGACUGAAGACAUUUGGAUCCAUAGUGGUGUUAAUUGUGUCAGAACUGCGUUUUGACACAAUUCUCAGACAUAUAUCCUACCUUAUGUUUUGUAAAAUCCAUAUUGUAUUCUAUCUGGAAUUUUGUUUGAAUAUGGACUGAUUAGGCAUGAAUGACACUAGAUUCAAGUAAUACAAAUAAAUGACUUAAAUUCUAGGACCACUGAACUAAUGGCCAAACAGUAUCAGUAAAUGGUGUGGUCUGUGUGUGUGUGUAUGUGCAUGCCUAUUUAUGCACUAUUUAUGUAUUUAUCAUUAUAUAUACAUAUGUGUAUCCAGUUGUCUUCCUCUAUACCCCAAAGGGAGAUAGAGUCAGAAACAAAGCUCAAGGUGAUAGUAAUCACAAAUCUCUCAGAAUAGUCGGUAACAAGGGAACUUUGAGUAAUAGAAGGGGAUCUCCUAUUCUAUAAAUGGAGUUUUUAGGGAUUCCCCAACCCCUUCCAGUCUCCUACUAGCAAGCAGGGAUGUGUUCUCCCCGAUAACCCCUAUCUUUACUGUUAGGGUUCUACCAUAUUCAAGGGAAUUCCCCCUUAUGCUUACCAGGGGAACCCCUCAAGAAUGGGGCAUCCCCAACCUAUUUGUCCCCUAAUUUCACUUUAGCCGAUGUAAAACUGAUGUAGGUUACAUUUGGUAGUGUCUCACCAUAACUCUGUGAGGGGGCUUAGCUCCCAUACCUGGCUUAGCUGAUCACUGAUGGUCAAACCUAACUGUUUACUGCCUUGGUAGACAUACUUUGCCUCCGUCAGUGUUUUGCCUCUUGGGUUUCUAGGGACAAUGGCCUAUGAUCCUGUCUGUGGGAUUGACAUGGAUCAUCCACCAGAAGUACAUGAGAUAGAGACUGUCUUACACUUUCCACCCACUUCCCACCCCAGGCCCAGCUUGGCAUAUAGUAGGCAAUUAGUAAAUGUUUGUUGAAUAAUUUACUAUAUCUUCCCUUGCAAUGUCUUGGCAAGCAACCUUUUCUUCUUUUUUUUCCUUGGGCAAGUAAAAAAUAUUCUUUUUAAAGGUAUCAUUAAUGUUUCCAUUGCAUUUAUAUUCAAAGCAAUAAUAAUCAUGGUUAAAUGUAAAUAAUAUUAUGUUGUAAGUGCUAUUUUCUGUGUAGCUUACAGUGAAUUUAAUUUGUACAACCUCCCUGUGAUUUAAAUCAAGGUAGAUACUAUUAUCCUUACCAGAUGAGGAAACUCAGGUAUAAAAAAGAUAACCAAUUUGCUUGACUUUUAUUGAAUGAAGCAAAAGUUUGUAAGGUUGCAGAUAAUAAACUAUGCGUGAUACACUG